rnacentral:rRNA from 1 species
CAGUCCUACGGGGGGCAGCAGUGGGGAAUAUUGGGCAAUGGGCGCAAGCCUGGCCCAGCAACGCCGCGUGAAGGAAGAAGGCUUUCGGGUUGUAAACUUCUUUUGACAGGGAAGAGUAGAAGGCGGUACCUGUCGAAUAAGCCACGGCUAACUACGUGCCAGCAGCCGCGGUAAUACGUAGGUGGCAAGCGUUGUCCGGAUUUACUGGGUGUAAAGGGAGCGUAGACGGCAGUGCAAGUCUGAAGUGAAAGGCACGGGCUCAACCCUUGGACUGCUUUGGAAACUGUGCUGCUG